GCGCGAAAACUUUACAAUGCUGGCAACAGCGAUAAGGGAACCUCGAGUGCCAGGUUACAAAUCUGGCUGUCGAGAUGCCUAAAAAGCAUUUCAUAGCAAGGGCCGGGCAAGACCGGUGCCAGCCGCCGCGGUAACACCGGCGGCUCGAGUGGUAACCGUUAUUAUUGGGUCUAAAGGGUCUGUAGCCGGCCGGAUAAGUCUCUUGAGAAAUCUGGCAGCUUAACUGUCAGGCUUUCAGGAGAUACUGUCUGGCUCGAGGCCAGGAGAGGUGAGAGGUACUUCAGGGGUAGGGGUGAAAUCUUGUAUCCUUGAAGGACCACCAGUGGCGAAGGCGUCUCACCAGAACGGACCUGACGGCAAGGGACGAAAGCUAGGGGCACGAACCG
rnacentral:rRNA from 1 species